rnacentral:rRNA from 1 species
UGAGGAAUAUUGGUCAAUGGGCGAGAGCCUGAACCAGCCAAGUAGCGUGCAGGAUGACGGCCCUAUGGGUUGUAAACUGCUUUUAUGUGGGGAUAAAGUGCGUGACGUGUCAUGCAUUGCAGGUACCACAUGAAUAAGGACCGGCUAAUUCCGUGCCAGCAGCCGCGGUAAUACGGAAGGUCCGGGCGUUAUCCGGAUUUAUUGAGUUUAAAGGGAGCGUAGGCUGUCUAUUAAGCGUGUUGUGAAAUUUACCGGCUCAACCGGUGGCUUGCAGCGCGAACUGGUCGACUUGAGUAUGCAGGAAGUAGGCGGAAUUCAUGGUGUAGCGGUGAAAUGCUUAGAUAUCAUGACGAACUCCGAUUGCGCAGGCAGCUUACUGUAGCACAACUGACGAUGAUGCUCGAAAGUGCGGGUAUCAAACAGG